UGGGGAAUAUUGCACAAUGGGCGGAAGCCUGAUGCAGCAACGCCGCGUGAGUGAUGAAGGCCUUCGGGUUGUAAAGCUCUGUCUUUUGGGACGAUAAUGACGGUACCAAAGGAGGAAGCCACGGCUAACUACGUGCCAGCAGCCGCGGUAAUACGUAGGUGGCAAGCGUUGUCCGGAUUUACUGGGCGUAAAGGAUGCGUAGGCGGAUUUUUAAGUGAGAUGUGAAAUACCCGGGCUUAACUUGGGUGCUGCAUUUCAAACUGGGAAUCUAGAGUGCGGGAGAGGAGAAUGGAAUUCCUAGUGUAGCGGCGAAAUGCGUAGAGAUUAGGAAGAACACCAGUGGCGAAGGCGAUUCUCUGGACCGUAACUGACGCUGAGGCAUGAAAGCGUGGGUAGCAAACAGGAUUAGAUACCCUGGUAGUCCACGCCGUAAACGAUGAGUACUAGGUGUAGGAGGUAUCGACCCCUUCUGUGCCGCAGUUAACACAAUAAGUACUCCGCCUGGGAAGUACGAUCGCAAGAUUAAAA
rnacentral:rRNA from 1 species